UACGUAGGGGGGCUAGCGUUGUCCGGAUUUAUUGGGCGUAAAGAGCGUGUAGGCGGCUAGGUAGGUCCGUUGUGAAAACUCGAGCUCAACCUCGAGACGCCGGUGGAAACCAUCUAGCUAGAGUCCGGAAGAGGAGAGUGGAAUUCCUGGUGUAGUGGUGAAAUGCGUAGAUAUCGGGAGGAACACCAGUGGCGAAGGCGACUACCUGGCCUGUUCUUGACGCUGAGGCGCGAAAGCUAGGGGAGCAAACGGG
rnacentral:rRNA from 1 species